UUGGCUAAGAUCAAGUGUAGUAUCUGUUCUUAUCAGUUUAAUAUCUGAUACGUGGGCCAUUGGUCCACAUGAUAUUAAAUUAAUUUUUUUAGGGGGAGAGCCCAUCUACGGUAGCUUGCUACUGGGGUUCUCGUGUGUCGCCCAAGCGUUGCACUACAGCCCGGGCCUGGCGUACCCCAUCCAAUACCAGUCUAAAUAUGUUUUUAAAGGUUGCCUUGCCACCAGGUACCAGUCAUUCCAGCGCGGCCCUGGCACACCCCUUAUGUUUUUAAAUAUUCGAGUCUGUUUGGAUCAGAGAAAGGAAGGGAAGCUAACCUAUUCUCUGUUUGGAAAUUCGUUUGUCCCACUUUACACAAGUAAAAUUAAGGAGCCGAGAGCAGAAGAAGCAGAGACUAUAAAUACAGGGCAGGUGGCAACGAUAAAACAUACUUACCUGGACGGGGUCGAUGGGUGAUCAUAAAGACGCAUGGCCUAGGGGGAGAGCCCACUGACGGUAGCUUGCUACUGGGGCUGUCAUGUGUCGCCCAAGCGUUGCAGUGUAGCUCGGGCCUGGCGCACCCCACUAAUGCUGUCUAAAAGGGUUUAUGAGCGCUGUAUUGUAGCAAGGGCACGGCAAGGCUAACCCAUUACUAUUUCCAGGAGGUUAAAAGUACCCUUUUCUGGCAUAAGCAUACUCCACAUGUCUGAAGAAAUUCAUCUUUGUUCAGAAACCUCACGAAUUUGAAGCCAGCUCUAUGAAGUUACUUGGUUUGAGGAGUCAAAGUCGUCUUUUAUCCCACAUUGAAAAGUGAAGAAGACGGAGGUCGAACCUGGCGCAUUAAAAGAGAGGAAAAAUGAAAUCACAUGUCAUACAUACCUGGACGGGGUCAUGGGUGAUCAAAAAGGCCCAUGGCCUAGGUUGUUGGCCUCCAUUGCACUCACGGGAGGUGCAUCAGCCUAACAUCUCCCUUAAGUGGAGAGUGUACGUCAUAAUUUGUGGCAGUGGGGGCCUGUGUUCGCGCGGCCCCCUCUAACAACUAUGCAAAUCAAGUUGUAAAUUGUAUCUAUAGCAACUAUAAAAAUCAAAUUAUUAAUUUUAUUUGUUAUGUUAAGU